rnacentral:rRNA from 1 species
UGCCAGCAGCCGCGGUAAUGCGGAGGGUGCGAGCGUUAUCCGGAAUCACUGGGUUUAAAGGGUCCGUAGGCGGGCAAUUAAGUCAGAGGUGAAAUCUUGCGGCUUAACCGUAAAAUUGCCUUUGAUACUGUUGGGCUUGAAUUAGGUUGAGGUUGGCGGAAUGUGGCAUGUAGCGGUGAAAUGCAUAGAUAUGCCAUAGAACACCAAUUGCGAAGGCAGCUGACUAGACCUUAAUUGACACUGAGGCGCGAAGGCGUGGGUAGCGAACGGGAUUAGAUA